ACAGAUGCUACAGUUUAUGUGCCGGUUUUGGACAGUGUCAUAUAACGUUUGUCGUUUUUCAAAAAGAAGCAAAGCAGUAAGAAUCGCAAAAUGCCUAGCCGUGGAGAGCCUAAUGAAAAGACUGUGUUUACCGAAUUGGUAGAUCGACUGAGGAAAUAUAUUAGGCAAAAUAGAAACACAGACGUCGGAAGAAGCGUACAAAGCAAAUACAUUAAUUACGUAAAAAAAACACGGGGAAAGUGAAAAAUGUCAAAUGAAAAACCUACAAAAAGUACAAACUAUAUAAUGUUUCCUAAAAUGUAAACUUCUUAUAAAUUAUAUUAUAUAGCUGAUAUAACGGUAAUUAUGUAAUCAUUUAAUGAUGUACAAUUAAGAUAAUUGCUCAUUAAUUAUUGGGUAAUUUUAAAAUGCUUCAUACGAUGUAAUGCUUAAAAAUAUUAAUCAACAAUCUAAAGACGAAAAACACA